CCCAUCGAUGAAGAAGAACUGGUCCGGUAUAUCCUUACCGGACUGGAUCAGGAGUACAACCCCGUCGUGGCCGCCGUCCUCGCUCAGCCGGGCGACACCUCCUUCGACGACCUGCUGUCGCAGCUCCUCAGCUUCGAAC